ACAGUGUGAUGCGUUUGGAAGUUGGGAGCCUGUGCAGUGCCACACCGGGACUGGGCACUGCUGGUGUGUAGAUGAGAAAGGAGGGUUCAUCCCUGCCUCACUGACUGCCCGCUCUCUGCAGAUUCCACAGUGCCAGACAACCUGCGAGAAAUCUCGAACCAGUGGGCUGCUUUCCAGUUGGAAACAGGCUAGAUCCCAAGAAAACCCAUCUCCAAAAGACCUGUUCGUUCCAGCCUGCCUAGAGGUAAGGGUCUGGAAGCACAGGAUUGGAGCCGGGACUUGUCCCUGCUGGUCGAAGAUGAUUUUUCUUUUUGUUCAAUACAUUCAGCUUAGU
rnacentral:sRNA from 1 species